UACGGAGGAUGCAAGCGUUAUCCGGAAUGAUUGGGCGUAAAGCGUCCGCAGGUGGCAAUGUAAGUCUGCUGUCAAAGCGUCUGGCUCAACCAGAUAAAGGCAGUGGAAACUACAUAGCUAGAGUAAGGUAGGGGUAGAGGAAAUUCCUGGUGUAGCGGUGAAAUGCGUAGAGAUCAGGAAGAACACCGGUGGCGAAAGCGCUCUGCUGGACCUUAACUGACACUGAGGGACGAAAGCUAGGGGAGCGAAUGGG
rnacentral:rRNA from 1 species